rnacentral:tRNA from 1 species
CAAGGUAUAGCUUAACUAAAGCAUCUAGUUUACACCUAGAAGAUUUCACACACUAUGAAUAUCUUGA